CCUACGGGUGGCAGCAGUGAGGAAUAUUGGUCAAUGGGCGCAAGCCUGAACCUGCCAAGUCGCGUGAGGGAAUACGGCCCUACGGGUUGUAAACCUCUUUUGUCGGGGAGCAAGCUUGAGCACGUGUGCCCAGGCGGAGAGUACCCGGAGAAAAAGCAUCGGCUAACUCCGUGACAGCGGCCGCGGUAAUACGGAGGAUGCGAUCGUUAGCCGGAUUGAGUGGGGUUAAAGGGUGCGCAGGCGGGCUGUUAAGCCGGCGGGAAAACUUCAGGGCUCAACCCUGUCGAGCAGACGGAACUGGCAGUCUUGAGUGGGCGAGAAGUAUGCGGAAGGCGUGGUGUAGCGGUGAAAUGCAUAGAUAUCACGCAGAACGCCGAUUGCGAAGGCAGCAUACCGGCGCCCAACUGACGCUGAGGCACGAAGGCGAGGGGAUCGAACAGGAUUAGAUACCCCUGUAGUC
rnacentral:rRNA from 1 species